rnacentral:misc_RNA from 1 species
AGCUUCAACCAUAUUGUUACCCACAGGUUCAACCUUGACAUGUACAAGAUCGGAUAAAGGAGAACCAACUUUCUUUUUCCCAGCACUUUGAGAAAUCUUGUCAUCCAUGAGUACGCUGGAAAAAUUGGAAGGGUUAUCCUGUGAAUCACAUUCAUCUUCCUUUUUCACAGCGGCAUCAACUGAAGACUUCAAACCUUGUGCAGUUCCUUGAGUAGAACGGCCACUGGAAGAAGCUUUUGCACCGCGCUUGCUCUUGCCCAUCAGUGAGUUCAUUCGCUGUCCAAACGGCAUUCGAUCAAUCUCAUCCCACUCCCGCUCUUCCUUUUCAGCCUUAGCGAUCGCAGCAUUCAUUUUUGCAUAACCAUCCAUAGCUACUUCUUUCAUGGCUCGGCAGAAGCAGAGAGACAAGAGCUGCAAAGUUUGUGAAGAGACUGGUUGUUGCAGCAGAUUCUCAAAGACAAAUACUAGAGCUGUGACCUUUGUUUCUUAGAAGAAGAGCAUCUGGCAUCAUCAUACUGACCCCUCCUUUUCACGAUGCAGUGUUCUGUUGGUUCAUCAUUAUUUCCCGUCAUUUCACACAGGGCCUUGAGCUUAGAUUCAUCUUUAUACAGCAAACGAAGUCCAAACUCCUUCAACUCUUCCGAAAAAGAUA